UUUUUGGGGUGGACAGCACCCCAGGUUUGUGUUCCCGGGUUAAAUUUCCGGCUCAUCGGGAAAUUAAAAAAUUCUAAUAAAAUCUUCUAUGAAAAUCCACGUAAAACCGAAACCAAACUAUUGGAAACCAUACUAUUUGAGGGACGACUGUAUUUCUAAAGGUCUAAGAGGAGGUCAAUCUGGUUUUCAUGAGUGUUUUUUUAGGUUCAUGGCACAGAGGAAGGGUCAAACUACCACCAGGGUCAUAAAACUAUCCCUGGAAAGGCCUACAGCUCCUACGAAAGCCAUGUCAAAUAUGUGAACUUGGGCGACGACAUGUUUUAAAAUAUGGCCCUUAGUCCUAGUAUUUCUUCUAACAUCUUUUAAAGCCUUCGUCACCCUCAUGAAAUAAUCGCCUAAGUCAUUUUUCAGCGAUUUCCAUGUUUUUGUCUACAUCAAUUUUUUAACAUGAUGCCCAAUUUUGUAUAGUUGGCUUCGUUAUUCAGGGUUUGAGUGUUCUAGAAUAGGCCUUUUCGUUUCUGCCUAAAUCUUAACCCGGUAGCAGCGAUGGGCCAAAUUUGUGGCUUCACCGUGUUGCAGCGACGGGCCAAAUUUGUGGCUUCACCGUGUAGCAGCGACGGGCCAAAUUUGUGGCUUCACCGUGUUGCAGCGACGGGCCAAAUUUGUGGCUUUACCGUGUAGCAGCGACAGGCCAGAUUUGUACCAUGAUUUAAACCCCCCAAAAUAGAUAAUACAUAAUCAGAUCACAAAUGCUUUGAUAUAUAUUAUGAAAUGGGUUGUGUGAGGGGUGAUUUUUUCUCAUUUUUCUCGCUUGGGGGGACCAUUAAGAAACAUGAUCCUCGCUGCUACCAGGUUAAGCCAAAUGAGAUGAUGACAGUUCUUUUAUAAUUUCCUGAAAAGUAGAAAAUAAUGACUUAAGCGGUUUCUUUACAAAAUGAUGAUAUGUAUCUCUAUCUGUGUCUGUCUAUGAGCCAAUUCCACAGUCCAACACAGUGUCUUCGUAACAGCCCGAACCAAACUACAGAAUCCCAUACAAUCCAAAAUGGUGAGGUCUUCGAUGCCACACUAAAUACACAAGACUUUUCCUGUAUAGUUUCAUCCAAUUUGUGAACUUCGAUAUAAACACCAGACACUAUACAAGGAAAUUUCAAAGGCUCUGGUAUUGGUUUGGGAGCUUACUAACCCAUCACGGGGAACUGUGAAACUGGCCCUAUAUCCGCAUCCACAUCAGUCUCUUUCUAUUGUCAUCCAGGGUGUGUGUUCUCUCAUUUCUUGUAACAUCUUUACCUUGAGACGUACAGGAAAACUAGGCAGCUAUUGGUGAUUUCCGGACUGCAAGGAAUAUGGAUCUGUUUGCUCAUGAGGGUGGCAAUGAUUAAGACAUGGUAGGAUUGGUGUGUUUUUUUUCUGGCGACGAGGAUUAUGACAUGGAAGGACUAGCGUAGGGGUUUUCUAGCGCUAUGUAACCUGUAUCGACGUUUUGAGUAAUAGUGUAAGUAAUUUUAAUAUCCUACUGUCUUUAUUUUUCUUGUUUUUUUUUUAUAGUUUUGACAUUUUUUCCCAUCUACUAAUAUUUUCUGUAUUAAAUUUCAUUCCGCUGAGGUAAGAUACAUUUUUUCCGAUCUUGUAAUCUUUUCGAAAAUAAAUUUCAUUCCGCUGAGGUAACACACAUUUUCCGAUCCUCUAAUCUCUUCCAUAAUAGAUUUCAUUCUGCUGAGGUAACAUACAUUUUCCGAUCCUCUAAUCUCUUCCAUAAUAGAUUUCAUUCCGCUGAGGUAACAUACACUUUUCAGAUCUUCUAAUAUUUUCCAUAAUAAAUUUCAUUCCGCUGAGGUAACAUACAUUUUUUUCUGAUCUUCUAAUCUUUUCCAUAAUAAAUUUCAUUCCGCUGAGGUAACAUACAUUUUUCUGAUCUCGUAAUAUUUUCCAUAAUAAAUUUCAUUCCGCUGAGGUAACAUACAUUUUUCCGAUCUUCUAAUAUUUUCCAUAAUAAAUUUCAUUCCACUGAGGUAACAUACAUUUUUUCCCAUCUUGUAAUAUUUUCCAUAAUAAAUUUCAUUCCGCUGAGGUAACAUACAUUUUUCUGAUCUUCUAAUAUUUUCCAUAAUAAAUUUCAUUCCGCUGAGGUAACAUACAUUUUUCUGAUCUUCUAAUAUUUUCCAUAAUAAAUUUCAUUCCGCUGAGGUAACAUACAUUUUCCGAUCUUGUAAUCUUUUCCAUAAUAAAUUUCAUUCUGCUGAGGUAACAUACAUUUUUCUGAUCUUGUAAUCUUUUCCAUAAUAAAUUUCAUUCCGCUGAGGUAACAUACAUUUUCCGAUCUUCUAAUAUCUUCCAUAAUAAAUUUCAUUCCGCUGAGGUAACAUACACUUUUCUGAUCUUCUAAUAUUUUCCAUUAUAAAUUUCAUUCCACUGAGGUAACAUACAUUUUUCCGAUCUUGUAAUCUUUUCCAUAAUAAAUUUCAUUCUGCUGAGGUAACAUACAUUUUCCGAUCUUGUAAUCUUUUCCAUAAUAAAUUUCAUUCUGCUGAGGUAACAUACAUUUUCCGAUCUUCUAAUCUUUUCCAUAAUAAAUUUCAUUCCGCUGAGGUAACACAUUUUUCCCAUCUCCUAAUAUUUUCCAUAAUAAAUUUCAUUCCGCUGAGGUAACACAUUUUUCCCAUCUUCUAAUCUUUUCCAUAAUAAAUUUCAUUCCGCUGAGGUAACGCACUUAUAUUCCUCUCCACACUAAAUUUCAUUCCACUAAAGUAACAUUCCACCUCUCGAGACAUCCUCCUUUGGUGCAUGUAAAGUGCCCGUGUGUAUAUUUAAUGUAGUAUAUAUAUGUAUAGUACUUGGUUAAGGGGUUGUGGGUAGGCUUAGAAGUGUAUGUAUAUUGUUUGUGUGUAUGUAUGGCAAGAUGGAGAAAGCAGAAAAAAAAUAUAUAUUGACUAACGUGAGAA